rnacentral:rRNA from 1 species
CCUACGGGAGGCAGCAGUGAGGAAUAUUGGUCAAUGGGCGUAAGCCUGAACCAGCCAAGUCGCGUGAGGGAUGAAGGUUCUAUGGAUCGUAAACCUCUUUUAUAAGGGAAUAAAGUGUGGGACGUGUCCUAUUUUGUAUGUACCUUAUGAAUAAGGAUCGGCUAACUCCGUGCCAGCAGCCGCGGUAAUACGGAGGAUCCGAGCGUUAUCCGGAUUUAUUGGGUUUAAAGGGUGCGUAGGCGGCCUUUUAAGUCAGCGGUGAAAGUCUGUGGCUCAACCAUAGAAUUGCCGUUGAAACUGGGUGGCUUGAGUAUGUUAGAGGCAGGCGGAAUGCGUGGUGUAGCGGUGAAAUGCUUAGAUAUCACGCAGAACACCGAUUGCGAAGGCAGCCGGCCAAGCCAUGACUGACGCUGAGGCUCGAAAGCGUGGGGAUCAAACAGGAUUAGAUACCCUAGUAGUC